AUUGAACGCUGGCGGCAGGCCUAACACAUGCAAGUCGAGCGGAUGAGGGGAGCUUGCUCCUGGAUUCAGCGGCGGACGGGUGAGUAAUGCCUAGGAAUCUGCCUGGUAGUGGGGGAUAACGUCCGGAAACGGGCGCUAAUACCGCAUACGUCCUGAGGGAGAAAGUGGGGGAUCUUCGGACCUCACGCUAUCAGAUGAGCCUAGGUCGGAUUAGCUAGUUGGUGGGGUAAAGGCCUACCAAGGCGACGAUCCGUAACUGGUCUGAGAGGAUGAUCAGUCACACUGGAACUGAGACACGGUCCAGACUCCUACGGGAGGCAGCAGUGGGGAAUAUUGGACAAUGGGCGAAAGCCUGAUCCAGCCAUGCCGCGUGUGUGAAGAAGGUCUUCGGAUUGUAAAGCACUUUAAGUUGGGAGGAAGGGCAGUAAGUUAAUACCUCGCUGUUUUGACGUUACCAACAGAAUAAGCACCGGCUAACUUCGUG
rnacentral:rRNA from 1 species